rnacentral:rRNA from 1 species
UACAGAGGUGGCAAGCGUUGUUCGGAAUUACUGGGCGUAAAGGGCGCGUAGGCGGCCUUCUAAGUCGGACGUGAAAGCCCCAGGCUUAACCUGGGAACUGCGUCCGAUACUGGGAGGCUUGGAUUCGGGAGAGGGAUGUGGAAUUCCAGGUGUAGCGGUGAAAUGCGUAGAUAUCUGGAGGAACACCGGUGGCGAAGGCGGCAGUCCUGGACCCGAGAUCGACGCUGAGGCGCGAAAGCUGAGGGGAGACCAAACAGGGGGAAUUGAAAGAUGAUCCCGUAGUAACGUCCUCAGGACCCAAAGUCCAUCU